rnacentral:rRNA from 1 species
AUUGAACGCUGGCGGCAGGCCUAACACAUGCAAGUCGAACGAGUGGCGGACGGGUGAGUAAUGUCUGGGAAACUGCCUGAUGGAGGGGGAUAACUACUGGAAACGGUAGCUAAUACCGCAUACCCUCAGAUGUGCCCAUAGGGGAUUAGCUUGUUGGUGGGGUAAAGGCGCACCAAGGCGACGAUCCCUAGCUGGUCUGAGAGGAUGACCAGCCACACUGGAACUGAGACACGGUCCAGCCGCCUACGGUCGGCAGCAGUGGGGAAUAGUGCACAAUGGGCGAAAGCUUGAUGCAGCCAUGCCGCGUGUAUGAAGAAGGCAUUCGGGUUGUAAAGUAAUUUCAGCGGGGAGGCGGUACCCGCAGAAGAAGCACCGGCUAACUCCGUGCCAGCAGCCGCGGUAAUUC